rnacentral:rRNA from 1 species
GUUAGGAAUAUUGGACAAUGGGCGCAAGCCUGAUCCAGCCAUGCCGCGUGAGUGAUGAAGGCCUUCGGGUUGUAAAGCUCUUUAGCCGAUGAUUAUAAUGACUGUAGUCGGAAAAUAAGCCCCGGCUAACUUCGUGCCAGCAGCCGCGGUAAUACGAAGGGGGCGAGCGUUAUUCGGAAUCACUGGGCGUAAAGCGUGCGUAGGCGGGUUUGCAAGUUGGGAGUGAAAGCCCAGGGCUCAACCCUGGAAUUGCUCUCAAAACUGCAAGGCUCGAAUUCGGGAGAGGAUAGCGGAAUUGUCAGUGUAGCAGUGAAAUGCGUAGAUAUUGACAGGAACACCAGUGGCGUAAGCGGCUAUCUGGACCGAUAUUGACGCUGAGGCACGAAAGCGUGGGGAUCGAACAGGAUUAGAUACCCGAGUAGUCC